GGGGAGGUGCCAGAGUGGUCGAUUGGGGCGCACUGCUAAUGCGUUGUAGGGGCUUAAACCUCUACCCAGGGUUCGAAUCCCUGCCUCCCCGCCA
rnacentral:tRNA from 1 species